GAUGAAGAACGUAGCGAAAUGCGAUAAGUAGUGUGAAUUGCAGAAUUCAGUGAAUCAUCGAAUCUUUGAACGCACAUUGCGCCCCUUGGUAUUCCAUGGGGCAUGCCUGUUCGAGCGUCAUUUGUACCUUCAAGCUCUGCUUGGUGUUGGGUGUUUGUCCUUGCUCUAGUGGCGGGACUCGCCUUAAAGUAAUUGGCAGCCAGUGUUUUGGUUUUGAAGCGCAGCACAAGUCGCGAUUCAAGUCUAUACGCUAGUUUCCACAAGUCUUUUAUCACUUUUGACCUCAGAUCAGGUAGGGAUACCCGCUGAACUUAAGCAUAUCAAUAAGCGGAGGA
rnacentral:misc_RNA from 1 species